GGGUGCGAUCAUACCAGCAUUAAUGCAUCGGAUCCCAUUAGAACUCUGCAGUUAAGCAUGCUUGGGCUAGAGUAGUACUGGGAUGGGUGACCUCCCGGGAAGUCCUGGUGUUGUACCCU
rnacentral:rRNA from 1 species